UGAUCGUCUCCUGACCAGGAUUUGAGUAAAUGGGAUCCGGAAUCAUGAUGAGUGAACUCCCUCUGGAUCGUCUGGAAGCAACAGCGCUUCAUCCCGAGCUACGUCCGGAUGAUAAUGGAGACGAUGCUCGUCCGUCUUGCAGUAAUGGAACACCCGCGAGUCGAACGUCUUUUAUGAUUGCAACAAAGAACAGUUAUGCAUUCCAGUGCGAAGAAAAAAGGUAAUUGAAAGCUUUUUUUUCCCCUCCACGUCCCACUACAGCAAUUUUAACAAUUUAUUUUUAUAAUAAUAGUAAUAUUUCUAAACUGCACAGGUUGUGCUUCGAGCAGAGGUAGGGACUGGUUUCAAAGACAUUGACAACCACACAACAUCCCAUUCACCACCAACAACAAAUAAAAUCCAGAUGUGGAUAAGUCCUUGCUAGAUUUAUGUGCAAGGUAAUAAAAACCUAGACUAUUGAGCAAACGGUACAGGAGAAUUAGGCGGAAAAAUGUGCAAGUGUGGGAGUCCCAUUUGUUCAUCCAUUUUUGUCUAAUGUAAAUUAUGUACAUAGUUAUACUUGUAAAUAAAUUAUUUUUCUGUCAAAAGUACUUU